rnacentral:rRNA from 1 species
AUUGAACGCUGGCGGCAUGCCUUACAUGCAAGUCGAACGGCAGCAUGAUCUAGCUUGCUAGAUUGAUGGCGAGUGGCGAACGGGUGAGUAAUACAUCGGAACGUGCCCUGUAGUGGGGGAUAACUAGUCGAAAGAUUAGCUAAUACCGCAUACGACCUGAGGGUGAAAGUGGGGGACCGCAAGGCCUCAUGCUAUAGGAGCGGCCGAUGUCUGAUUAGCUAGUUGGUGAGGUAAAGGCUCACCAAGGCGAUGAUCAGUAGCUGGUCUGAGAGGACGAUCAGCCACACUGGGACUGAGACACGGCCCAGACUCCUACGGGAGGCAGCAGUGGGGAAUUUUGGACAAUGGGCGAAAGCCUGAUCCAGCAAUGCCGCGUGUGUGAAGAAGGCCUUCGGGUUGUAAAGCACUUUUGUCCGGAAAGAAAUGGCUCUGGUUAAUACCUGGGGUCGAUGACGGUACCGGAAGAAUAAGAACCGGCUAACUACGUG